rfam:Triticum urartu cultivar G1812 contig856434, whole genome shotgun sequence.
AAAUGCCAUUUGGUAUCUGACACCUGGUCAUUUUUUGUGAUUCUGUGUCUCGAAAUGAGGGGCAAUGGAACUUUGUGACACUGGCUGCUCCUAAUGAGCCUCUAGUUACUAUAUAUCCAUUUACAUCA